GACGGGCUGGACUCUGGAUUGCUCCCUCUGGAUGUGUGUGGGAUGUAGCCUGGAAACUCCACAGAGGUGAGCCAAGGGAUUUAAGGGAGGUGAAGAAAGAAGGAAGAAGGGAACUGAGGCAUCAGCCAAGCAGCACCAAGCUCCUGUAUAAGCAGAUGUACCAAGAACUGGUAGUUUUUGCAGUGGGAUGUUCCCUAGAAACUCCAUGGAGGUGAGCGAAGGCAUUUAAAGGGACUGUGCAAGCAAAGUAAAGAAAGACUGAAGAGAACUGAGGCAGAAGCCAAGCCAGCACCAAGUUCUUCUACAACCAGGUGUGGGGAAUGUCCUGAACACAGAACAGGAAUACAGGGAAGGAAAAUGAGCCCUCCUGUAAUGCUGACCCAUCCCUUCAGCUGCAGUGGAGACACCUCCGUGUGCC